rnacentral:rRNA from 2 species
AGUCGAGCGAAUGGAUUAAGAGCUUGCUCUUAUGAAGUUAGCGGCGGACGGGUGAGUAACACGUGGGUAACCUGCCCAUAAGACUGGGAUAACUCCGGGAAACCGGGGCUAAUACCGGAUAACAUUUUGAACCGCAUGGUUCGAAAUUGAAAGGCGGCUUCGGCUGUCACUUAUGGAUGGACCCGCGUCGCAUUAGCUAGUUGGUGAGGUAACGGCUCACCAAGGCAACGAUGCGUAGCCGACCUGAGAGGGUGAUCGGCCACACUGGGACUGAGACACGGCCCAGACUCCUACGGGAGGCAGCAGUAGGGAAUCUUCCGCAAUGGACGAAAGUCUGACGGAGCAACGCCGCGUGAGUGAUGAAGGCUUUCGGGUCGUAAAACUCUGUUGUUAGGGAAGAACAAGUGCUAGUUGAAUAAGCUGGCACCUUGACGGUACCUAACCAGAAAGCCACGGCUAACUACGUGCCAGCAGCCGCGGUAAUACGUAGGUGGCAAGCGUUAUCCGGAAUUAUUGGGCGUAAAGCGCGCGCAGGUGGUUUCUUAAGUCUGAUGUGAAAGCCCACGGCUCAACCGUGGAGGGUCAUUGGAAACUGGGAGACUUGAGUGCAGAAGAGGAAAGUGGAAUUCCAUGUGUAGCGGUGAAAUGCGUAGAGAUAUGGAGGAACACCAGUGGCGAAGGCGACUUUCUGGUCUGUAACUGACACUGAGGCGCG